UACAGAGGUCCCAAGCGUUGCUCGGAUUCACUGGGCGUAAAGGGUGCGUAGGUGGUGGGGUAAGUUUGAUGUGAAAUCUCCGAGCUUAACUCGGAAAUGGCAUUGAAUACUACUCUGCUAGAGGAUUGGAGGGGAGACUGGAAUUCUUGGUGUAGCAGUGAAAUGCGUAGAUAUCAAGAGGAACACCAGUGGCGAAAGCGAGUCUCUGGACAAUUCCUGACACUGAGGCACGAAAGCUAGGGGAGCAAACAGG
rnacentral:rRNA from 1 species